rnacentral:rRNA from 1 species
UACGUAGGGUGCGAGCGUUGUCCGGAAUUAUUGGGCGUAAAGAGCUUGUAGGCGGUUUGUCGCGUCUGCUGUGAAAACCCGGGGCUCAACCCCGGGCCUGCAGUCGAUACGGGCGGACUAGAGUUCGGCAGGGGAGACGUGGAAUUCCUGGUGUAGCGGUGAAAUGCGCAGAUAUCAGGAGGAACACCCGGUGGCGAAGGCGGGCUCU